AUUGUCAGUGAUGAGAUUGUCACCUAGUUUUGAGUUUAGCGACCAUGGGAAAACUUUACAUGCACUACCAUCUGAGGCGCA